rnacentral:lncRNA from 1 species
UCAAGGUUCUUCUGGGCUAAAUAAUUUUUGAAGGAGUAAAAUACAUUAGAGGUCAUAAUUUUUUCGUAAAAGUCCCAAGAGUCCUAGUUCUAUGAAAUUGCACAUUUGAGUUCCAAUUGUUUUACAGGUUCAGCGCAGGUCCUAUGUCUGUUCGGUCAUGUGCCUCCUGUCCACGUGGCUUUUUGGGCCCACAUGUCACGUGUCUAGGUGGACUCAUUUUUGCUAAAAACACCCUGCCUUUUUCUUCCUUCUUCCCCGUCAGCCCUUCACUCUCUAUCAGGUGCGUGGUGGCGAGGUUCGCGGUGCAGAUGGAGAUUGGGCAGGGGCUGAGUCCGCGGGAGAAGUGCGCGGAGAAGCAGGAGAUCCUCCGGUGAGUCCGGGAAGCCGUCGUGUCCCCCGCCGAGGAGGCCACCGUGCUCGCCAAACCCCGCCAUUGCCUCGUCCCCUCUGCCUCCGUCCUACGCGCGCGCGCACCGUCGCUUCUUGCCGUCGCGGCCAUCAACCUCCCCAAGACGCACCACCUUGCCCCCGAGCUUCGCCUCGUCGCGCUGAGUUCUCCUGAGGAAGGAAUCGACUUGAGGUGCUAGGAAUCGCCGCCAUCGAGCCCUUCUUCCCCAAGUCCGGUCGUGCACUGCCGCCGCCCGAUCUCCUUCUCCAGUGAGUUUUGGACUCCACCGCCACCUUCCUCGGAUCUGCGGAGACACCCUGUAGCCGCUGAUGCUCUUCCCCAACCCCAGCUCGCCUCGUCGCUCUGCCUCGGGCGCCGCCAGACGCCGUUGAACUCCACCAUCCCGAGCUCCUCCUUCCCGUACGACCACUCAAGUGCAUUCACGGUGAGCCUCUCGUCCGUUUCCCCCUAUCCCCUUGCGCUCCCGUGCCUCGUAGCCCUCUACCGCCCACCGCCAUGGCGUCGUCAGCCCCGUGCUGAUGCAGAGCAGGAACAGGAUCUACCACUGGGGCUCCGUCAGCAACGAGCUCCUCACGCACAAGCAGGUCGUCCACCUCUCCAAGAAAAUCAAGGACGGCAUCUGGCUCCAACAUCAACGAUCCAACAGCAUCUGGAGAAGAGAGGAAUCACGGGGGAGAAGGAAGAAGAUGCGGGUUUUUUUAGCAAAAAUGCGUCCACCCGGCCAUCUGCAUCCGGGCAUCUGACAUGUGGGUCCAAAUAGCCACGUCGACUGGAGGCACGGGGCUGAACCACCAUAGGACGUGUGAUGAACCACUUAUGAAACAAUUGGAACUCAAACGUGCAGUUUUAAAAAAUUAAAACUAAUUUGGGACAUUUACAAAAGAAUUAGAACUUUUGAUGCAUUUUACUCUUUUUUAAGAGUCAUCAGUAUAAUCUUAAGUUAGAUCGUGUUUUUGUUGAACAAUGCAGACAUUUGACCAACAAAAUACUUUCUCUCAUUUUCAACAUUUCUUUGGGGGGUACUAGCUGAAAUAUAAUUUCUUAAUGCAGAGAGAAAGGUGGGCUGGGCCCGGCCCAGCUGGCCAUUGCCUAGACGUGCAUGUGGUGUGGGGCUGUAGAGUACACACGUGUACAGAGAAGGGCAGCAGAGGUUGCACCAAACGCAGAUAUCUUAUUUGCACAUAUAAAUUAUCAUAAUUUGUAUUCAAACACGAAUGCCCUUAUUACAUGGAGAUAACAGCAAAAUAAAGAGACCAUAAAGAAUGGGUGGAUAUUCUUCUCUUCACCACAUAUUUACAGGACUAUUCUACACAUGUAAACAAAAACAAUUUAUGUGGCCCAAAGAAGAGCCCCCUAAUUAAGCUAAAGUUAGACAAGUCAAGAAAGGGAAAAGACCACUGAUGUGGUGGGUGCAUGUGUAAUUACGGAUUUAGACUUGUAGAAGAAUUUACUUUGUUUCCUUAGAUGCUAGCAGGGGUGGUGGAGACGGAGCCGGUGCUACAGGGAGAAGUUAUUGAUCAUCCAGCUUAUAAAUAUAAAAAAUCUACAAGUAUAACAUCAUUAGCCC